CGCUUGUACUUUGAAAACAGUGCAAGUUGAAACUCCUUUGAAAGGAGCAAGGGCAGGAUGUAAAGAAAGAAGAGAACCCAUCUGAGGAGAGCCUGAGAAUGGGGAAAUCGUUCUAGGCUCUGAUGCCACAGCAAAGCCUGCGUUGGGGCCGCGGAGCACUGGUCUUUUCACCACCGGGAACAAGAUCCUGUGCUAGGGCCCUGAACCCACCAUGGGCUCCAGGCUCCUCUGCUACGUGGCCCUCUGCCUCCUGGGAGCAGAUCUCUUGGACGCAGCAGUUUUUCAGACUCCAAAGUACCUCCUUGCACAGGCGGGAAAGAAGACGUCCCUAAGAUGUGAACAGAAGCUGGGCCACAAUGCCAUGUACUGGUAUAAGCAAGACUCCAAGCAAUUGCUGAAGGUUAUGUUUGCCUACAAUAAUAAGGAGCUUUUUCUAAAUGAGACAGUUCCAAGUUGCUUCUUACCAGAAUCUCCAAACAAAGCUGAGUUGAAACUUCACAUUAACUCCUUGGAGCUGGGCGACUCUGCCCGGUACCUCUGUGCUAGCAGCCAAGACACAGCCCUGCAGAGUCAUCACCUCCCUCUACACAAACCCACAGGCCCAGCCAGGAAGCUGGGGUACAACAGGUUCAAACAACAAGGCUCCCUGCUCCCAUCUGUGAGGCCCCUGAUGGACUUUCAUCUAUAG